rnacentral:rRNA from 1 species
CCCUAUGGGGUGCACCAGGCUAUGGAGCAUUGGUUAAUCCUCACUAUUUAAUUGUUUGAUAAGAAAUUGUUUGUAGAAUGAUUAAUAGUAGCAAUCGCAUACUUGAGUGUCAAUAAAAAUUUAUGCCGUUGAAUGGUAAAAUUUUAUAAUAUUCAUUUUUAAUGGUAAACUAUUUUACCUUGACUUCAUGCAACUUGAAUGUAUGAUUUCAUGAACAAUAUGUGAUCUGAACAAGUGUGUCUCGAACAGGAAACAACGUCACCAUGAAAAUCACAGCGGCAAAGAUCCUUAUUUACAGGGUAUUAUAAAAAAUUGCAGGCCUUCAAAAAAAGGGCCGGUUACGGGAAGAACACCAUGGUCAAAGAGAAAAAACCAAAGAAGUCAUUCGGCCAGAGCAUCAGGAAUUAUCGGGAGGUCAGGGGAUUGAGCAUCAGGGAAUUGGCGGGGGAGC